CUCUCAUCUCUCUCUUUCUCACUCUUUUUCUUAUAAGCAUUGCUCGGUGAUAGUUGUCAAUAUCUCACAACCAAAACUUCUUUAUCUCUCACUCACAUUAACAACCACCAGUCCAUCAUAUCUCCUUAUCUCUUUGUGCAACAGUUUACUUCAUAAAUGGUUCAUUGUUAUUACUUUUGCGAUUUCUAUCAUAGCAAGACAUCAUUUAUCAUUAACUAAUGUUAAUGGUAAAUGGAAUACAAAUCAACUGUGAUUUUCUUGAUUAAACAUACUUACAUUAUCAAUGCAUUAUUGGUUCACUACAAGAAUCUCCUCCAACAAAUUUCUGACAGAACGCCCAUGACAAUUAUAUUUAAGUCAGGUCCAAAUAUGAUAUUCUUAAGCCGGACUUAAUUGCUCCCGGAGUAGAUAUCAUAGCUAGUUGGUCUCCGAUUUCUAUCGAAGGAAGAAAGUUGGGAUUUAACAUUGUAUCCGGAACAUCAAUGGCAUGUCCACAUGUAUUAGGUGCAGCAGGAUACAUCAAGUCCUUCUGUGAUACUUAGUUAUCUGCUGCUAUCUGAUCAUCUUUGAUUACAACAGCCAAACAAUUGAGUGCGACAAAUAAUCAAGAUGCUGAAUUUGCUUAUGGAGCAGGUCAAAUUGAUCCAGUGAAAGCUCUAAAUCCCGACUUAAUAUAUGAUGUUGGAAAAAUGGCUUAUAUAAAAUUAUUAUGUAAACUAGUCUACAAUAAAUCCAUUUUAACAAAACUCACUGAAAAUUCAAGGGGUUGUUACAAUGUAUCAUAUAUAUCUGCAGAGGAUUUGAAUUAUCCGCCGUUUGCUCUUUAAGCAUUGAACCCACACAUCGUAAGGGGGACUUUCAAAUGAACUGUAACAAAUAUUGGAUCUCCAUCAGGAACAUUUAUGUCAAUUCCUAAUGGACUCAACAUCUUAGUGAAGCAUAAUGUUUUAUCUUUCACUUCAAUAGGCAAAAAGAAAACAUUCAUUCUUACUAUAGAUGGAUCGAUCAAAGGGUCUAUUAUACCUGCUUCUUUAAUUUGAAAUGAUGGUAAAUAUCAAGUGAGAAGUCCUAUUAUUGUAUAUGAUAAACGAUAAGAGAAAGAUGGAAAAGCUCCAUAUUUUAAUGUUAGGGAUGCUGUCAUUAUUGUUGUUGUUGAUAUGUUUGGAAAUAGAAAUGAUAAAAUUGGAUUGUGUUCCUAUUCUUCGAAA